GCUCUGCAGAUAAAGACUGUUGAUGGAAGGUGAAGUCUAACUGAGACUGUCACCAAUGCAGCAAAUCUAGCUAGAUUUUUACGCCUCUACGAAAAAGGCAGGUACAAAUGAAAGAGUUAAGUCCAUCUCGGUGCUGGUGCGGCCUCACC